UUUUCCAGGCCUUUACAUGUUGUUUUGGCACAGAUUUGAAGUUCAAAACUUCUGUUCAUGAAAACUAGGUGACAUGAAUAGAGAAAAGGCCCAAGUUUAGGAUGAAAUUUUGACAGAAAAAGAACUCCUGUAGUGUUCCUGCAAAAUCGUGACUUGAACUCUUCACAGAAAAAGACAGAAACCUGCACUAGAGAAUCUUGCCUUGAGGGUAUGAAUAUUCACUGAUCUUAACCAUCUCAAUCGAAGAUGUUCAUUACCUGCAAAUGACUCGGAC
rnacentral:lncRNA from 1 species